UACGUAGGGUGCGAGCGUUGUCCGGAAUUAUUGGGCGUAAAGGGCUCGUAGGCGGUUUGUCGCGUCGGGAGUGAAAACCUCGGGCUUAACUCGGGGCUUGCUUUCGAUACGGGCAGACUGGAGGUAUGCAGGGGAGAACGGAAUUCCUGGUGUAGUGGUGAAAUGCGUAGAGAUCGGCAGGAACACCCAGGGGGAAACCAGCCGACUGGGCAUCUACUGACGCUGAGGUGCGAGAGCGUGGGGAGCGAACCGG
rnacentral:rRNA from 1 species